ensembl:snoRNA LOC120093946 small nucleolar RNA SNORA70
CUGCAGCCAGUGGAGCUGGCCGACCCCUUGUUCAUGGAGGCCUGUGCGUAAUGGCUGCAAACAGCAGCCUGCUUGGUAGCACGGUCAACCUGCUACCUAUGUGGGUUACCCUAAGGCAUCUUGGAGGCAAUU